UACGAAGGGGGCUAGCGUUGUUCGGAAUCACUGGGCGUAAAGGGCGCGUAGGCGGCCUGAUAAGUAGGGGGUGAAAUCCUGUGGCUUAACUGCAGGGCUGCCUCCUAGACUGUUAGGCUCGAGCACGGUAGAGGCAGAUGGAAUUCCCGGUGUAGCGGUGGAAUGCGUAGAGAUCGGGAAGAACAUCGGUGGCGAAGGCGGUCUGCUGGGCCGUUGCUGACGCUGAGGCGCGACAGCGUGGGGAGCAAACGGG
rnacentral:rRNA from 1 species